rnacentral:rRNA from 1 species
UACGAAGGGGGCUAGCGUUGCUCGGAAUCACUGGGCGUAAAGGGUGCGUAGGCGGGUCGUUAAGUCGGGGGUGAAAUCCUGGAGCUCAACUCCAGAACUGCCUUCGAUACUGUCGAUCUUGAGUCUGGGAGAGGUGAGUGGAACUCCGAGUGUAGAGGUGAAAUUCGUAGAUAUUCGGAAGAACACCAGUGGCGAAGGCGGCUCACUGGCCCGGUACUGACGCUGAGGUGCGAAAGCGUGGGGAGCAAACAGG